rnacentral:misc_RNA from 1 species
UGGCUCUCGCAUCGAUGAAGAACGCAGCGAAAUGCGAUAAGUAAUGUGAAUUGCAGAAUUCAGUGAAUCAUCGAAUCUUUGAACGCACCUUGCGCCCUCUGGUAUUCCGGAGGGCAUGCCUGUUUGAGUGUCAUGAAUACCUCACCCCCUCGGGUUUCCGACUGUGGUGGAUUUGGGCGCCUGCCAGUGACAUGGCUCGCCUUAAAUGCAUUAGCAAACCGUGGACGUAAUAAGUUUCGUCUUGUGCGGCUGCUUCCAAUCUCCCUUUGCUGGGAUGUCUUGCAGAAGACAGAUUCUAUGAUCGACCUCAAAUCAGGUAGGACUACCCGCUGA